CAUGCAGUUCUUGGAACUUCUGAAUGGUGGUCAUAUUGAAUCUCAUAUGUAAUUAACAAUAAAUGUUAGUAUGUAUUGUUCAGAAACCUGAUGUAUGCUGUCUCAUUUGAGCAUUACACAUUCCUUAACUGCACAUUCUACACUUCUGCAGGGCCGCCAUCCCCCUGUUGGCGACUUUUGGUGCUAAAUUUGUUUUUUUCGUGGUCGAGGCCGCAUGUUCCACUGUGUGCGUCCACCGAUUUUGUUGUGCUUCGUCCAAUGCAUGACGCGUUAGAGUUCUCUGAAUGCCUCAUAUUGUUUUGUUGUCACUCAGUAAUUCACAUGCAUUUAUUUCGUAUAGAUGAAUACUACUUUUUACAAUAAAUGAACAAAUCAC
rnacentral:lncRNA from 1 species